rnacentral:rRNA from 1 species
GAUGAACGCUGGCGGCGUGCUUAAUACAUGCAAGUCGAGCGAACAGACGAUGAGCUUGCUGCUCUGACGUUAGCGGCGGACGUGAGAGUAACACGUGGAUAACCUACCUAUAAGACUGGUAUAACUUCGGGAAACCGGAUCUAAUACCGUAUAAUAUAUUGAACCGUAUGGUUCAAUGGUGAAAUUCGGCUUUUCUGUCUCUUCUAGCUGCUUCUGCGCCGCAUUAGCUAGUUGUUAAGGUAACGGCUUUCCAAGGCAAGGAUGCGUAGCCGACCUGAGAGGGUGAUCGGCGACACGAGAGCGGGAACGCGCACAAGACUCCUGAGAGAGGCAGCAGACGGGAAUCGUACGCAGUGGGCGAGAACAUGGCGGAACAACGCCGCGUGAGAGAUGGAAAUCUUCGGAUCGUAAAACUCUGUUAUGAGGGAAGAACAAAUGUGUAAGUAACUGUGGACGUAGUGACGGUACCGAGUAAGAAAGCAACGGCUAACUACGUG